GCAAGGAAGUUUUUAAGACAAUUGUUAAGAAAACUGUUGAUAAAGUAUCUGGGUCUAUGAAAAACCACCGUUUACCCAAAUCACAGGCAAAGAUAGAUCAUUAUAUUGACUCAUCACGGAGGAAACUUACGCAACUAGUGGAGGGUUAUGUCGGUAAAUACAAGAGUUGAUGUCGGCUCCCAAUUCCCAGCCAUAUUUCCAGGCACUGAAGUAUAAGCACCCAGAUCAAUUUAAGUUAACGUCUGGUUUCCCAUCAGCUGGAUGAUUUUAUCUGAAAUCUCAGAAUUUUAAGUUACAUAUUGGCAAGUACACUUAGUGUGGAGGACAUUAUUUUGCCAGCCUUGGGCUUACAAAUUUUUUCUUAGGGAGCAUGAAACCGAGUUCUCGAUAUUAGGUAUAUUAAGAUCUUUGACAAGGGUUCUUGUCAGAAGAUUGUUUAGCUUGUUGAUCAUGUAUAUUGUCUAGAUUUUCAUAAAAUUUGGUUAGUGCAUUUCUUCUUUCCUGUAAGAUGAAGAUGUGACCAAUCUCUUAGAUUUCUGUAAUAUUAGUGUAUUAUUGCCCUGAUCAUCAAUCAUAUAUUUGUUUCAUGCUUCCA